rnacentral:lncRNA from 1 species
ACUGCCUGAGGUCAGGAAGCUGCAGGUAGCAGGGGAGCGGGUUGGCCCAGGCCUCUCUGGCUGCCAAGGCAGGAGCGGUCCCCGUGUGCCACCUGGGUGUUGCUGGACCUUGGACAGUGUGGCCAGAGGAUCCGGAAGGGGUGAGGAAACCGGGGCGUGGAGAGGCUGUGUUACUUGCUCAAGGUCACAUUACUAGCAAGUUCCAGAUCAAGAUGCAUCCCCAGGCAGUCUGGCUCCAGACUCCGUGCAUUUACCUGCAGAACCCCUCUCCAGCCAGCAUCUGACCUGUGGCCCAGGAGUGUGCACCCUCUGGCAGGUGAGGGCUUGGAGCAGAGACCUGGCCAUUACAGGAAGCAGCCUGGAGCUAUGGACAGAACGGAGAGAGUGGGGGCCAGCGGCGCUGCUGCCUUCAGACACCGGUUGAUGAACCGUCCCAUGUGGUCCUGCCCAGGGAGUGGAGCCCAGCGCACAAGGCCUGGCAGGUUCAGACUUGGGUUUUCACCAAAUGCCC